UCGGGAAUUUUGGGCAAUGGGCGAAAGCCUGACCCAGCAACGCCGCGUGAAGGAUGAAGUAUUUCGGUAUGUAAACUUCGAAAGAAUAGGAAGAAUAAAUGACGGUACUAUUUAUAAGGUCCGGCUAACUACGUGCCAGCAGCCGCGGUAAUACGUAGGGACCAAGCGUUGUUCGGAUUUACUGGGCGUAAAGGGCGCGUAGGCGGCAUGACAAGUCACUUGUGAAAUCUCUGGGCUUAACCCAGAACGGCCAAGUGAUACUGUCGCGCUAGAGUGCAGAAGGGGCAAUCGGAAUUCUUGGUGUAGCGGUGAAAUGCGUAGAUAUCAAGAGGAACACCUGAGGUGAAGACGGGUUGCUGGGCUGACACUGACGCUGAGGCGCGAAAGCCAGGGGAGCAAACGGGAUUAGAUACCCAAGUAGUCCCUGAGCGGGCUGGCAAGGCGCAU
rnacentral:rRNA from 1 species